rnacentral:rRNA from 1 species
GAUGAACGCUGGCGGCGUGCCUAAUACAUGCAAGUCGAGCGAACGGACGAGAAGCUUGCUUCUCUGAUGUUAGCGGCGGACGGGUGAGUAACACGUGGAUAACCUACCUAUAAGACUGGGAUAACUUCGGGUAACCGUAGCUAAUACCGGAUAAUAUUUUGAACCGCAUGGUUCAAAAGUGAAAGACGGUCUUGCUGUCACUUAUAGAUGGAUCCGCGCUGCAUUAGCUAGUUGGUAAGGUAACGGCUUACCAAGGCAACGAUGCAUAGCCGACCUGAGAGGGUGAUCGGCCACACUGGAACUGAGACACGGUCCAGACUCCUACGGGAGGCAGCAGUAGGGAAUCUUCCUCAAUGGGCGAAAGCCUGACGGAGCAACGCCGCGUGAGUGAUGAAGGUCUUCGGAUCGUAAAACUCUGUUAUUAGGGAAGAACAUAUGUGUAAGUAACUGUGCACAUCUUGACGGUACCUAAUCAGAAAGCCACGGCUAACUACGUG